ACGGGGGGGGCAAGCGUUGUUCGGAAUUACUGGGCGUAAAGGGCGCGUAGGCGGCCUGCUAAGUCGGAUGUGAAAUCCCUCGGCUCAACCGAGGAACUGCAUCCGAUACUGGCGGGCUUGAAUCCGGGAGAGGGAUGUGGAAUUCCAGGUGUAGCGGUGAAAUGCGUAAAUAUCUGGAGGAACACCGGUGGCGAAGGCGGCAUCCUGGACCGGUAUUGACGCUGAGGCGCGAAAGCUAGGGGAGCAAACGGGAUUAGAUACCCCGGUAGUCCUAGCCCUAAACGAUGAGUGCUUGGUGUGGCGGGUAUCGAUCCCUGCCGUGCCGAAGCUAACGCAUUAAGCACUCCGCCUGGGGAGUACGGUCGCAAGGCUG
rnacentral:rRNA from 1 species